ACUAUUGUCACGUUAAAAGGGAAACCAACUCGACUGAACUUAACAAUGGACAUGAAAUGCAUUUAUAUACCUAGUUCAUCAAAUGUGGCUAAUAACAACCUAACCUAUAGUGUCCAAGAUCAUCAACUAAAUACACAUUCCAUGGUAGUAGAAGCACAAACAAGAUUUCUUCAAAAUGAAAAUAACUGAAGCAUUAGUACUAAGCUUAGUCUUCAACCCCCACUUCCAACCGAGAGGUUGUGAGUUCGAGUCUCCCCAAGAGCAAGGUGGGAAGUUCUUGGAGGGAAGAAUGCCGGGGGUCUAUUUGGAAACAGCCAGCGCGAGAGCAUCUGCAACCUCAUAAUUGCCAAGAUGUACCAAGGUGCUGGUGGUGAGUUCGAGUCUCCCCAAGAGCAAGGUGGGAAGUUCUUUGAGGGAAGGAUGUCGGGGGUCUAUUUGGAAACAGCCUCUCUACCCAAUGGUAGGGGUAAAGUCUGCGUACAUACUACCCUCCCCAAACCUCACUAAAUGGGAUUAUACUGGGUUGUGGUUGUUAGUAGUCUUCAAAGAAGUCAAUCACUCCAAUAUUUUAACUUAGAAGCAAACAACCAUGAACCCAAAUUUAUAUAAGUGACUCAUACUUACUGGAAAAAAAAAAUUCGGGAAAAGGAUUAAAAGCAAGGAAAGCAUCAAAGAUGCUAAAUAACGAGAGCAAAUGAAGCAUUUGAUUUAAACAAACCAACUGGAACAAAUAUAACAUUGCAUUUGGGAUAUGUAGAUGAAGAACAGACCUUUACUACUAAAUAUUUAAGUUACGGAUUUGUUCGAAUCAAAGAAUCUCAGAUCGGACAACUGGACGUUGAUCGGAACCUCACCGGCGACCUCGACAGAAACUCGAACUCAAACCAGAAUCAACCUCGGCUUAUCUCGUUGGACCCGAACUCAAACUCAACUCUGAGAUGCUUAGAAUUCGAGCUUACCAGAAUUUCAACCGGAGAAUAAGAAGCAGUGGCGGAUGUUUGCCCUCCAAGUUGAGAGAAGGGAUGGAGGUAGGGUGGGGAAAAU
rnacentral:lncRNA from 1 species